GAACGGGUGAGUAACGUGGGCAAUCUGCCCUGCACUUCGGGACAACCCUGGAAACGGGUAAUACCGGAUACUACCGUCGGGCGGCUGUGGUGGAAAGUUCGGCGGUGCAGGAUGAGCCCGCGGCCUAUCAGCUUGUUGGUGGGGUGAUGGCCUACCAGGCGACGACGGGUAGCCGGCCUGAGAGGGCGACCGGCCACACUGGGACUGAGACACGGCCCAGACUCCUACGGGAGGCAGCAGUGGGGAAUAUUGCACAAUGGGCGGAAGCCUGAUGCAGCGACGCCGCGUGAGGGAUGACGGCCUUCGGGUUGUAAACCUCUUUCAGCAGGGAAGAAGGACGGUACCUGCAGAAGAAGCACCGGCU
rnacentral:rRNA from 1 species